UACGAAGGGGGCUAGCGUUGCUCGGAAUCACUGGGCGUAAAGGGUGCGUAGGCGGGUCUUUAAGUCAGGGGUGAAAUCCUGGAGCUCAACUCCAGAACUGCCUUUGAUACUGAAGAUCUUGAGUUCGGGAGAGGUGAGUGGAACUGCGAGUGUAGAGGUGAAAUUCAUAGAUAUUCGCAAGAACACCAGUGGCGAAGGCGGCUCACUGGCCCGAUACUGACGCUGAGGCACGAAAGCGUGGGGAGCAAACAGG
rnacentral:rRNA from 1 species